UCCUUCCUCCAUUUUGAGUUGAUUCAGGUUAACACUAUGCAGAGAAUCUCCUUCCUCCAUUUUGAGUUGAUUCAGGUUAACACUAUGCAGAGAAUCUCCUUCCUCCAUUUUGAGUUGAUUCAGGUUAACGCUAUGCAGAGAAUCUCCUUCCUCCAUCUUGAGUUGAUUCAGGUUAACGCUAUGCAGAGAAUCUCCUUCCUCCAUCUUGAGUUGAUUCAGGUUAACACUAUGCAGAGAAUCUCCUUCCUCCAUUUUAAGUUGAUGUAGUUAACCUGGGCAGAGAAACUUGUUCUGUUAAACUAACGGCCUUCAUAUCAGUAAAUGUUUCAAACUUCCAGGGUCUUAUAGCUCUAGGCUGGUGCCAUGUGGGUGAUUGUGAUGGCUUGUCUUCUCCUUAUAAGACAGCUAUAGGCUGGUGCCAUGUGGGUAACUGUGAUGGCUUGUCUUCUCCUUAUAAGACAGCUCUAGGCUGGUGCCAUGUGGGUAACUG
ensembl:lncRNA